rnacentral:rRNA from 1 species
GGAUCAUUACCGAGUGAGGGCCCUCUGGGUCCAACCUCCCACCCGUGUUUAUCGUACCUUGUUGCUUCGGCGGGCCCGCCUCACGGCCGCCGGGGGGCAUCCGCCCCCGGGCCCGCGCCCGCCGAAGACACCAUUGAACUCUGUCUGAAGAUUGCAGUCUGAGCGAUUAGCUAAAUCAGUUAAAACUUUCAACAACGGAUCUCUUGGUUCCGGCAUCGAUGAAGAACGCAGCGAAAUGCGAUACGUAAUGUGAAUUGCAGAAUUCAGUGAAUCAUCGAGUCUUUGAACGCACAUUGCGCCCCCUGGUAUUCCGGGGGGCAUGCCUGUCCGAGCGUCAUUGCUGCCCUCAAGCACGGCUUGUGUGUUGGGCCCCGCCCCCCGGUUCCGGGGGGCGGGCCCGAAAGGCAGCGGCGGCACCGCGUCCGGUCCUCGAGCGUAUGGGGCUUUGUCACCCGCUCUGUAGGCCCGGCCGGCGCCCGCCGGCGACCCCAAAUCAAUCUAUCCAGGUUGACCUCGGAUCAGGUAGGGAUACCCGCUGAACUUAAGCAUAU